rnacentral:rRNA from 1 species
CCUACGGGAGGCUGCAGUGAGGAAUAUUGGUCAAUGGGAGAGAUCCUGAACCAGCCAAGCCGCGUGAGGGAAGACGGCUCUAUGGGUUGUAAACCUCUUUUGUCGGAGAACAAAACCCGGGACGAGUCCCGGACUGCGUGUAUCCGAAGAAAAAGCAUCGGCAAACUCCGUGCCAGCUGCCGCGGUAAUACGGAGGAUGUGAGCGUUAUCCGGAUUUAUUGGGUUUAAGGGGUGCGUAGGCGGUCUGUUAAGUCAGCGGGAAAAUUGCGGGGCUCAACCCCGUCGAGCCGUUGAAACUGGCAGACUUGAGUAGGCGAGAAGUACGCGGAAUGCGCGGUGUAGCGGUGAAAUGCAUAGAGAUCGCGCAGAACUCCGAUUGCGAAGGCAGCGCACCGGCGCCAGACUGACGCUGAGGCACGAAAGCGUGGGGAUCGAACAGGAUUAGAUACCCUUGUAGUC